UUUUUUUUUUUUUUUUUUUAAAUUCCACAUACUUACCAAACAUCUGCAUUUUUACGAAAAAUCUCAAAGCAGGAUUUCUAAUGACAGAUUAGGUAUGUAAAUUAGAAGUCUUCCCGCUGGCCCCUUUGUCUCUUAAUGCGUGGCACUCCAUCAUCUGCCAUUCUUUCCCAUCCACUCUCUUUCACCCAGUCAGAAGCUCAGCUCAAACUGACCACUAGAGGGAACAUGUGUCCUGUCCCCAACAGGGUUCUGGGUCCUGGCCUCAGGUGUCUGUAAAUUACCUGAUAGUCCCACUGGCAUUGUCACUGAGCUACUGGCCUUGGGCGUACCAGGGUGAAGGCACUGUUCCUUAGUCCCAGAUGCUGCCCCUUUCCAGUUUCUCAGUUAUGCUUUAUCUGUCUGGUCUAUACAGGAGACCAGCUGUGGUAGGAAAGUAUAAGGAGAUGCCAAGAGUGGCUUCAGAUAGAAGUGGAGAGAACACUGAACUAAAAGUCAGGAGUUUCUGAUGCUUGUCCAAUAUCUUGACAAAAAAUCAUUGUCACCUCUCUAGGCCUCAGCUUUCUCAUGUGUAAGAUGAGGGCCUUAAACUAAGUGACUCCAAGUUCCUUUUCUGGGCUAAUACCAUAUGAAUCUGAGAUCAUGAUCUCCAGACUCCCUUGAUCCUGACUUUCAGGCUAAUGCAAGCCACAGAGGAGAUAUAGGAGAUAGACUGGGGCACAGAUUGCAUUGAGGAAAAUGCAUAUGCAUAAACAAAGUUUUGCCAACAGUUCUGUAUUCUUUUGAGCACCUCUGCAAGCCCAGUUAAACACUACUGAUGUAGGGGGUUUCAACAUACCAGGGACAGCUUUAGCAAUCUUAGCAAGGUCUGCUUCUUUAAGGAAUUGUACAGAGCACCAACAAUCUGGAAGUCUUGUCCAUGACCCAUCCACAGUCUUCUCUAUAAACUCAUUAUAUAGCUUCACCAUGAUGGGGCUCCAGCUGGCAUUGAGGAGGGAGUAAUCCUUUGUAUCAGACUGGAGGUGGCUACUGCUUGAGACCUGAUAAGUCCAAAACAGGUGGUGGACUGUCCCUGGUAUUCCAAUUUGACUCAUUCAUUCAAGCAUUUACCUAAUAGAUGAGUCUAUUUUCAUCUCCCAGAGCAGGUACAAAUGCCCAGAGGUAAGAGAGAGCAUGUCAGAUUCCUAGAACUGUAAAUGUGGAAAUGUCUAGUAGGAGUGAAGAAAUGGAAGGGAGGAGGCCAGAGGGAGAGCCUGGGGCCCUCCAUCAACCAUGUAGGAGUAUGUAGGCUUUAUGCGAAGAGGUUUAAGCAGGAGAAUGAAAGGGUCAGAUUGGCAGGUUAGAAGGAUUUCUGCACAUGGGAAGUUACAGACCGGUCAAGUCUCCCUGACACUGGGGAGCCUUGCUAAUAUACAAUUCAAAGACACAUUCUUUCCCCUGCCUGUUUCCUUUCAGCUUCCAGCUCCUCUGUGCCUCCCUCUCCUGCUCCCCAGGUCCUUCAGGUUCUGCUUCUAAGAUGGUUCACCUUGUUUGACUGUGUAGUUUAUUUUAUCUACUUACUUUUGUAUUACAAUCAGAAGGCUCAACCAGAGACUCCCUUUUCUGGGAGACAGAGUAGAUGAUUGAGUCCAGAUAGCUAGCCCUCCCCACUGGGAAUUUUGGAUAAUCCAUUAUAUGACAACACCUUGUUUUAUCUUCUACCUGGUUAUUGUUUGAAUUCACUGGUGCCAAUCCGUCCUUCCUGUUCCUGGUACAGUUUCUACUUUUUCUGGUGCAUUAAUCUGGCUUACUCACAAUUCCCUCUAUAUGCUCUUCUCUACCUAAACAGAUGGAGAGAAACAUAGCUUCUUAAAUUACUUAUAAACAGACA
rnacentral:lncRNA from 1 species